GACGAUGGAUGGAUGGAUAUUGCUGAGAAGUGGACAGUUAUAAACACCACUGUCACUUGAAGAGGAGAGGGGCCAAAUUCAUCCAUAAAGAAGGGACAUUUAUGAGGUGGAGGGAGCUCAGGAUUAAGGUCAUGCCUUCGAGAUGAGCAGCCAAUCCUUGCGUUUCAGAAGUGGGAUCUAGUCAGUGUUUGACAUGCUUGAACCAGCUUGUUCUUGGUCAGUAUGCCAUUUGAUGGAGUGUGCUUGCCAUCUCGCCUGCCUCUGGCCAUGGUGCCAUCUUGAAAGGCGCCGCGGCACACACACCUGGCCCGCCGGCUGCCUCUUUGGUCUGCCUCACCUUUUGUCAGCACCAUGUUAAUGAAGGCCCUGUCAGUGUCCACCGCUCGCACACCGGGGCGCCUUUUAAUGAGUUCGCUAUUUGAUCGCCAUAGACACCCAGCACGAAUGAUGCUCAUUUUUUUUUAUCCCUCAUGGAUGAUGCUCCUUCGCUCUUGUAUAUGUAUGCAUGUUCACAGAAGUGUGUGUUGGGCUAAAGGGGAGGGAGACAAAAAAGAGGGGGCCGGUCAGCUGAUUAGGACGAGUU